CCUACGGGUGGCAGCAGUGAGGAAUAUUGGUCAAUGGGCGCGAGCCUGAACCAGCCAAGUAGCGUGAAGGAUGACUGCCCUACGGGUUGUAAACUUCUUUUAUCAAGGAAUAAAGUGAGGCACGUGUGCCUUUUUGUACGUACUUUAUGAAUAAGGACCGGCUAACUCAGUGCCAGCAGCCGGGGUAAUACGGAGGAUACGAGCGUUAUCCGGAUGUAUUGGGUUUUAAGGGGUCGGUGAUGGGUUGUUAAGUCAGUUGUGAAAGUUUGCGGCUCAACCGGAAAAUUGCAAUUGAUACUGGCAGUCUUGAGUACAGUUGAGGUAGGCGGAAUUCGUGGUGUAGCGGUGAAAUGCUUAGAUAUCACGAAGAACUCCGAUUGCGAAGGCAGCUUACUAACCUGCCACUGACAUUGAUGCUCGAAAGUGUGGGUAUCAAACAGGAUUAGAUACCCCUGUAGUC
rnacentral:rRNA from 1 species